AAAGGAAUUGACGGGGGCCCGCACAAGCGGCGGAGCAUGCGGAUUAAUUCGAUGCAACGCGAAGAACCUUACCAAGGCUUGACAUACACCGGAAAAGUGCAGAGAUGUGCUCCCCGUAAGGUCGGUGUACAGGUGGUGCAUGGUUGUCGUCAGCUCGUGUCGUGAGAUGUUGGGUUAAGUCCCGCAACGAGCGCAACCCUUGUCCUGUGUUGCCAGCACGUCAUGGUGGGGACUCAUGGGAGACUGCCGGGGUCAACUCGGAGGAAGGUGGGGACGACGUCAAAUCAUCAUGCCCCUUAUGUCUUGGGCUUCACGCAUGCUACAAUGGCCGGUACAGAGGGCUGCGAUACCGCGAGGUGGAGCGAAUCCCAAAAAGCCGGUCUCAGUUCGGAUUGGGGUCUGCAACUCGACCCCAUGAAGUCGGAGUCGCUAGUAAUCGCAGAUCAGCAACGCUGCGGUGAAUACGUUCUCGGGCCUUGUACACACCGCCCGU
rnacentral:rRNA from 1 species